rnacentral:rRNA from 1 species
GAUGAACGCUGGCGGCGUGCCUAACACAUGCAAGUCGAGCGGCAGCGAGGGGUGCUUGCACCCUGUCGGCGAGCGGCGGACGGCUGAGUAACGCGUGGGAACGUGCCCCAAAGUGAGGAAUAACUGCCCGAAAGGGUAGCUAAUACCGCAUAUUAUCUUCGGAUCAAAGGAUUUAUCCGCUUUGGUAGCGGCUCGCGUCGGAUUAGGUAGUUGGUGAGGUAAUUGCUCACCAAGCCGACGAUCCGUAGCUGGUCGGAUAGGAUGACCAGCCAGACUGGAACUGAGACACGGUCCAGAAUCCUACGGGAGGGAGCAGUGAGGAAUCUUCCACAAUGGGCGAAAGCCUGAUGGCGCAACGCCGCGUGCAGGACGAAGGCCUUCGGGUUGUAAACUGCUUUUAUAAGUGAGGAAUAUGACGGUAACUGAUGAAUAAGGAGCGGCUAACUACGUG